rnacentral:rRNA from 1 species
CACGUAGGGUGCGAGCGUUGUCCGGAAUUAUUGGGCGUAAAGAGCUCGUAGGCGGUGUGUCGCGUCGGCCGUGAAAACCUGCAGCUUAACUGUGGGCGUGCGGUCGAUACGGGCAUCACUGGAGUUCGGCAGGGGAGACUGGAAUUCCUGGUGUAGCGGUGAAAUGCGCAGAUAUCAGGAGGAACACCAGUGCGAAGGCAGGC